GUGCUGCAUGGCUGUCGUCAUCUCGUGUCGUGAGAUGUUGGGUUAAGUCCCGCAACGAGCGCAACCCUUGUCCCUAGUUGCUACGCAAGAGCACUCCAGGGAGACUGCCGGUGACAAACCGGAGGAAGGUGGGGAUGACGUCAAGUCCUCAUGGCCCUUAUGGGUAGGGCUUCACACGUCAUACAAUGGUCGGAACAGAGGGUUGCCAAGCCGCGAGGUGGAGCCAAUCCCAGAAAACCGAUCGUAGUCCGGAUCGCAGUCUGCAACUCGACUGCGUGAAGCUGGAAUCGCUAGUAAUCGCGGAUCAACAUGCCGCGGUGAAUACGUUCCCGG
rnacentral:rRNA from 1 species